CACAUGCAAGUCGAACGGAGAUUAGACGCUGACGAGACUUCGGUCAAAUCUUGUUUAAUCUUAGUGGCGGACGGGUGAGUAACGCGUGGGCAACCUGCCUCAUACUGGGGGAUAACAGUUGGAAACGACUGUUAAUACCGCAUAAGCGCACAGAGUCGCAUGACUCAGUGUGAAAAACUCCGGUGGUAUGAGAUGGGC
rnacentral:rRNA from 1 species